GAGUUGUAAUUUGCAGAGGAUGCUUCGGGUGCGGUCCCCGUCUAAGUGCCCUGGAAAGGGCCGUCAUAGAGGGUGAUAAUCCCGUCUGGGAUGGGCGGCCGCGCCCGUGUGAAGCUCCUUCGACGAGUCGAGUUGUUUGGGAAUGCAGCUCUAAGCGGGUGGUAGAUUCCAUCUAAAGCUAAAUAUUGGCCGGAGACCGAUAGCGCACAAGUAGAGUGAUCGAAAGAUGAAAAGCACUUUGAAAAGAGAGUUAAACAGCACGUGAAAUUGUUGAAAGGGAAGCGUUGUCCACCAGACUCGCCCGGGGGGGCUCAGCCGGCACGUGUGCCGGUGUACUCCUCUCCGGGCGGGCCAGCAUCGGUUUGGGCGGCUGGUGAAAGGCCCCGGGAAUGUAACACCCUCCGGGGUGCCUUAUAGCCCGGGGUGCCAUGCAGCCAGCCUGGACCGAGGCCCGCGCUUCGGCGAGGAUGCUGGCGUAAUGGUGGUCAACGGCCCGUCUUGAAACACGGACCAAGGAGUCUAACAUCUAUGCGAGUGUUCGGGUGUCAAACCCGUCCGCGCAGUGAAAGCGAACGGAGGUGGGAGCCCCUCGGGGCGCACCAUCGACCGAUCCUGAUGUCUUCGGAUGGAUUUGAGUAAGAGCAUAGCUGUUGGGACCCGAAAGAUGGUGAACUAUGCCUGAAUAGGGCGAAGCCAGAGGAAACUCUGGUGGAGGCUCGCAGCGGUUACUGACGUGCAAAUCGAUUCGUCAAAUUUGGGUAUAGGG
rnacentral:rRNA from 1 species